rnacentral:rRNA from 1 species
CCUACGGGAGGCAGCAGUGGGGAAUUUUGGACAAUGGGCGCAAGCCUGAUCCAGCCAUGCCGCGUGAGUGAAGAAGGCCUUCGGGUUGUAAAGCUCUUUCGGCGGGGACGAAAAGGUCCGUGUUAACACCACGGAUCCAUGACGGUACCCGCAGAAGAAGCACCGGCUAACUACGUGCCAGCAGCCGCGGUAAUACGUAGGGUGCAGGCGUUAAUCGGAAUUACUGGGCGUAAAGCGUGCGCAGGCGGUUUGCUAAGACAGGUGUGAAAUUCCCGGGCUUAACCUGGGAACUGCGCUUGUAACUGGCAAGCUAGAGUGUGGCAGAGGGGGGUGGAAUUCCACGUGUAGCAGUGAGAUGCGUAGAGAUGUGGAGGAACACCGAUGGCGAAGGCAGCCCCCUGGGCUAACACUGACGCUCAUGCACGAAGGCGUGGGGAGCAAACAGGAUUAGAUACCCUGGUAGUCCACGCCCUAAACUAUGUCAACUGGUUGUCGGGGAAGCAAUGCCUUGGUAACGAAGCUAACGCGUGAAGUUGACCGCCUGGGGAGUACGGCCGCAAGGUUAAAACUCAAAGGAAUUGACGG